rnacentral:rRNA from 1 species
AUUGAACGCUGGCGGCAGGCCUAACACAUGCAAGUCGAACGAGGGGCGGACGGGUGAGUAAUGUCUGGGAAACUGCCUGAUGGAGGGGGAUAACUACGGGACACGGUAGCUAAUACCGCAUACCAUGAGGUGUGCCCAGAUGGGAUUAGCUAGUAGGUGGGGUAAAGGCUCACCUAGGCGACGAUCCCUAGCUGGUCUGAGAGGAUGACCAGCCACACUGGAACUGAGACACGGCCCAGACUCCUACGGGAGGCAGCAGUGGGGAAUAUUGCACAAUGGGCGCAAGCCUGAUGCAGCCAUGCCGCGUGUAUGAAGAAGGCCUUCGGGUUGUAAAGUACUUUCAGCGGGGAGGCGUUACCCGCAGAAGAAGCACCGGCUAACUCCGUGCCAGCAGCCGCGGUAAUAC